rnacentral:rRNA from 1 species
UAGGGAAUCUUCCACAAUGGGCGAAAGCCUGAUGGAGCAACGCCGCGUGUGUGAUGAAGGGUUUCGGCUCGUAAAACACUGUUGUAAGGGAAGAAUGACAUUGAGAGUAACUGUUCAAUGUGUGACGGUAUCUUACCAGAAAGGAACGGCUAAAUACGUGCCUG